rnacentral:lncRNA from 10 species
GGAAGGAGCCCAGAGACUCUUGUGGACAGAGCCGGGUCGAGAGUUGGGCGUUUUCUCUUCGUGUGUUUUGGUGGUUUCCCCCCUGGUCUUUGACGAUCGCCCUUCGGGAGCCCUGCUAAAGAACCAAACCAUGAACUUGGGGCUGACCGGACCGUUUAACCCUUUGCAACCAGGCAUCAGAUGCCAGCUCUGAAAAACUCUUCAACACUGUUAUUGUAAACAAAGUUAUAAAGGAACUUGCUUAGAUUUUGUAAAUUAUUAUGUGGUUAAAGAAAUCAACGAUUUAUCAAGUGCUCACUCUGUGGAAGGCAUCGUGUGCAGAAUCGAAGUAAAGGCAAAGAUUGAAAGAAAUCAUUCCUCAAAAAAGUUGUGUGUAUUAAAAUAUGAAGAGCAGUAAGGUUUUUUGUUGUUGUUGUUGUUAUUUUGAGACAGAGUCUCACUCUGUCACUCAGGCUGGAGUGCGGUGGCACAAUCUCAGCUCGCUGCCACUUCCGCCUCCCGGUUCAAGCGAUUCUCCUGCCUCAGCCUCCUGAGUAGCUGGGAUUACAGGUGGCUGCCACCAGGCUGGGCUGAUUUUUGUAUUUUCAGUAGAGACGGGGUUUCACCAUGUUGGUCAGACUGAUCUCGAACUCCGGACCUCAGGUGAUCCGCCCACCUCGGCCUCCCAAAGUGCUGGGAUUACAGGAGUGAGCCACCACACCUGGCGUAGGAUUAAGUUUUAUUGUCAUUCAAAUAUGAACAUAUUUAAUCUUGUAUAAUAAAAUAUAAUUUAUUCUAUAAGAAACAUAAUGUGUUGCUUGCUAAUACCAAGGACAUUAAGUGUAGACUAGAAGUUCAUCAGAGCAGAUGGCUAGCAGGGGCUGUGAGACUGGAUAGGGGUUAACCGUGAGGCUGAAAGAUGGGAUUCGAAAGUGCACCUGUGUGGGAAAGGG